UACAGAGGGUGCGAGCGUUGUUCGGAAUUACUGGGCGUAAAGCGCGCGCAGGCGGCCUUUUAAGUCUGCUGGUGAAAUGCCGGGGCUCAACCCCGUGCCCGCCACAGAUACUGGGAGGCUGGAGACGAGUAGAGGCAAGCGGAAUUCCGGGUGUAGCGGUGGAAUGCGUAGAGAUCCGGAAGAACACCGGAGGCGAAGGCGGCUUGCUGGGCUCGGUCUGACGCUGAGGCGCGAAAGCUAGGGGAGCGAACGGG
rnacentral:rRNA from 1 species